AAGUAGGCCUUAUCGAAUGAAUUUUGAGCCUAUUAUCAUCUUCUAUGAAGAAAAAUCGAGUGUUAAGGUUAAUAAGCCAGUUCAUAUGAAUUUUGAGCCUGUCAUGAUAUUUUAUGAUGAAAAAUUGAGUGCUAAAAUUGGCGAAUCAAUUUGUACAACUAUGCCAAAUGUGACAAUUGAUGUCCCUAGCCCAUUCCCAUACAAAUCGGAUAAAGCAGUCCCUUGAAAAUAUGA
rnacentral:lncRNA from 1 species